AGAGGUCAGGUAAAUCUACUACUACUACUGUGUCUUGCUUUGACAUGGCAGAGAUGCUGCAGUGUUCCCAUGGCUCUUUGGUAUGGAUCAGCUCAGCAGCUCCAACCCUGUUGUACUAUGUGAAUGCAAUUUUCAGCUGUGAGGGAAUACAGAGGGCGAGCCCAAAACAUUAGUAUCACUAUCCACAUUAGUUUAAGAUCUCUUAUACCACACAUAUUCAACAAUCUUUCAGCCAGCAACAAAAUGUUAGGAAAAUGACAGGUCUCCUUCCCUGCUAUCACGAAUAUAAUAUAAGCACAGAUGAGGAUGAAUGAGACUUCAUUUUAACGCAACGCAGCAGUAUAAUUCAGAAUACAGUAUUUGUACUAACACAACCAUGUAUAAAUAUGUCUUAAAACCACAGUUUAUUACAGUAUUACUGAACAAAGAUUUUACAUUCUUUGAAAGUAUAACUGUAACAAACGCUAUACUGUCUUGGUACAGCUGUACCAGUCCUAGUGUUUCUGUCUGUUUGUCCCCUGUUGGUUCCCCUCCUGUCUGUGUGUGUGUGUGUGUGUGUGUGUGUGUGUGUGUGUGUGCUGUGGGGCGUGGCCUCCGAGGAACUUCCAAUCAGCGACUGACACACCUGCUACCCAUCUGCUGCUGCUCACCUGCUCUCCAUCCACAAUCAACACCUGACAGUAUAUCUACCCGUUCGUUUUCCUCACCUGCCUCCAAUUGCCCACCGGCUUCCCGGAAGGGCUUUACUGCAGCUCUCCUCUGCUCCACCUCAGCCCGCUGCCCUUCCUCCGCCUGCCUGCUCUCUUCAGCCUCUGGUCUCAGCAAUUACCUCCACACUCAUGGUUACUCAUUGUAUUUCCUAAAUAAACGGAACCUUACCACUUCA